CUCCUCCCUUCCUUCCCCCCCUCCUCCCUUCCUUUCCCCCCUCCUCUUUCUCUCUCUCUCAGCCCGCCCACUAAACUCUCCUUCCCUUAGCUUAGAUCUGUCAGUGUAUUGGCUCCAAAGAACUGUCACUCACUGUCAGCUUGCCGCCUCCACCUCCAGGUCCCUGCUCAGGUGUCACUCACCCUGUAGGCCUGCUUAGAGGAAGAAGAACGGCUAGAGUGGGGUGGAUCGGAGCGCAAAGGCAGUGGAGAGAGAAGGCCUGCCCAUCCGGUGCAAAUAUAUACCCUGUCCUCUACUUUUGCGACUGUGCUUUCCCCAUUUGGUUGAGCCGCAGUAGAAUAGAACCUCCAUGAGGAUACUUUGACAUUUUGACACUCCAGGUUGUAGAGCCAGUGUGGUAUUGAUUCUUCAGGGUGCAAGGAGUAACCUUUGAAAUCCAAGGCCAGAAGAAACUGGAAACUGAGUGGAUGCCCAUCAAUUGGAGAAUGGUUUAAUAAGUUAUGAUAUAUGAAUGUUAUGGGAUAUUAUUAUUCUGUAAGAAACUAUCAGCAGGAUGAAUUUCGAGAGAUCUGGAGAGACUUAUAUGAACUGAUGCUAAGUGAAAUGAACACAACAACAAUAUUAUAGGAUGAUCAAUUCUGAUGGAUAGGGCUCUCUUCAACAAUGAAAUGAUCAGACCAAUUCCGAUGAUCUUGUGAUGAAAAGAGUCAUGAUCAUGGUCAUGAUGAAUGUCUAAUCCCACUUCCAUCUCAUUUGGAGGAGGGGGAUAAAAGGGAGAGGGGACUAUCACUACAGUGGCAAAGACUAAAGAACAACUUUGUGAACUAAAAUAAAUUCAGGCACAAGGGAAGGUCUAGAUUCUCCAUGAAGUCUCCCUUAACUAUGCUCCAGACUCUCUCCCUCUUGUGAAUUUUUCCAGCACCAAGCCAGUUCAAGCUAAGGCAAGGAUUUCUCUCUUAUUGUGAAGUAUCUGGAUCAAAAUAGUGGAAUCAGUGCAAUGAAGAAAUUGAGAUGAGGAUUUAAUGAGGACAUCAAAGACACUUAUUAUUCCUUGAGGAAAAUGUUCUAUUAUCAUUGAUAGCUGCCAUUAAAUAGAAUUUUGCCUUUAUUUUAAGAUACCAUAACACCUUCAAUUUCAAAGAGAAAUCUCUGAAAGUGAAUUGGAGGGCCACAUGCCAAUAUUUUUUUAAAAAAUGUUGAGUUUAGAAUUCUCUCACUCCCCUCUGUCAUUGAGAAGGAAGCAAUUGGUAAAAUUAAGGUAUGUGCAGACAUGAAAACAUUUCCAUAUUGUGAAAGAAAACAGAACAACAAGAAAAAGAAAAAUUAAAAAAAAAAUGUUUUGAGAUGGAAAAGGACCCCACCUGUGCAAAAAAUGUUUGUAGCAGCUUUAUUUUUGUGAUGGCAAGAAACUGGAAAUUGAAUGGAUGCAUAGUUUCAAAUUGCUGUUCAGACUGAUUGUUUCAAUUCACUUCACUAAUAGUGUAUUAGUGUCCCAAUUUUCCCACAUCUCCUCCAACAUUUAUCAAUAUUCUUUUCUUUCAUGUUAGCCAAUCUAAUAGGUUUGUGGCAAUAUCUCAGAUUUUUUUGAAUUUGCACUUCUCUAAUCAAUAAAUAGUGAGUCAUAAAAAUGACUAUAGUUUUGAUUUCUUUUUCUGCAAGCUUCCUAUUCAUAUCAUUUUACCCUUUAUCAAUUGGGUAAUGACUUGUAUUGUUAUAAAUUUGACUUGGUUCUCUAUAUAUUUGAGAAAUGAGACCUCUAUCAGAGAUAUUUGCUGUAAGAUGUUUUCACAGUUAUGAUUAUUGAGUAUUUCCUCUCUGUCCUAUUUAUUAUUUUCUUUCUUUCUCUGUCUCUCUCCUCUCUCCUCUCUCCUCCCCCCUCCCCUUAUGCCUUAUUCCUCCUCCAAACUGUUCUGCUUCUGAUAACUACCUCCCCUAGUAAUACUUCCUUUCUACCAGUCCCCUCUUUAUUCUACCCCUUCCAACUUUCUUGAAUGGUAAGAUAGAUUUUUAUACCAUUUUAAGUGUGUAUGUUAUUCCCUCUUUGAACUACUUCCUGUGAAAGUAGUAUCCAAAUAUUGUCUGUUAUAUCUCCACCCCCACCAUUUCUUCUUCCAGUGUAAAAGCUUUUCUUGUACCUCUUUAAUGUGACAUAAUUUCCCCUAUUCUACUCUCCCUUACUCCUCCCAGCGCACCCCUCUUUCUGCUCCUUUAAUUUUAUCUUUUUAGAUAUCCCAUCAUGGCAAGUCAUACUUGUUUAUAUAUAAUCUUUCUCACUGUCCUCAUAUUGAUAGUUUCCCCCCCUCUUUUUUGUUUACAUUUUAAUUUCCAUAUUUUCACUCUCUCCCUUACCACUUCCCACUAGAGAAGGUCACAACUUAACACAUAUUUAUAAUUAUAUGUAAAACUAUAUUAAGCAUACUUUUACUUUUUAGUUCUUGCUAUGGAGGUGUAUAGCAUUUUUCUUCAUAGGUCCUUUCUAAUUGAUUUGAGAUAAUAUGAUUUUAUCAUAAUCAGAAAAAAUAUUCACAAUUGUUCUUUGAACAAUAUUGCUGUUACUGUAUAUAAUAUUCUCUUUGUUCAGCUCACUUACUUUUCAUUAUUUCAUGCAAGUCUUUUAAUAUUUUUCUAGAAUCAAGUAGCUCAUCAUUUCUUAGAGCAGUAGUAUUCCAAAGCAAUCAUACACCAUAAUUUAUUUAGCUAUUCCUCAACUGAUAUGCAUCCCAUCAAUUUUCAGCUCUUUUCCAUGACAGAGAAAGUUGUUAUAAGUAUUUUAGAAUAUGAAAGUUCUUUUGAUCAAUCACUUCAGGAAAUAGAUCUCCUAAUAGCAUUGCAGGGUCAAAGGUAUACCCAGUUUUAUAAAUCUUUAGGCAUAAUUCCAUAUUGCUCUCCAAAAUGAUUGAAUCAGUUCACAGUUCCACCAGUGGUGUAUUAAUGUCCCAUUUUCCCACAUCCCAUUCAACAUCUCUCAUUUUCAUUAUAGCUAAUUGAUAGAUAUGGGAUGAUAUUUCAAAGUUGUUUUAAUUUCCAUUUCUCUAGUCAAUAACAAUGUAGAACAUUUUUGUUAUAGCUGCACAUAGCUUUGAUUUUUUCAUUAAAAAAAACGCUGCCAUAUCCUUUCAGCAUUUAUCAAUUGGUUAUUGACUAAUAUUAUUAUGAAUUUAACAAAGUUCUUUAUAUAUUUGAGAUAUGAGACCUUUAUCCAAGAAACUAAUCCUUUACCGCUAUCCCCUCUCCUCCUCCAUUUUUUAUUUUCCUUGUAAUCUUGGCUACUUUGGCUUUAUAUAUACAAAAUCUUGGUAAUUUAAUAUAAUCAUAAUUAUGCAUUUUAUAUUUUGCAAGGCUCCCUAGCUCUUGCUUAAUUCAUUCAUUCUUUUAUCCAUAAGUUUGAUAAAUAAUGUGUUCCAUAUUUUUCUGUUUUUGUGAUAUCCCCUAUUAUUGCUAAGUUAGGUAUUCAUUUUGACCAUAUUUUAAAAUAGUGUGAGAUAUUGAUCUAUACCCAGUUUCUGACAAACAGCUUUCCAAUUUUCCAACAAUUCUUCCCAAUUUAUUUUUAACCCAAAAGCUUAAAUCUUUAUUUUUGUUAAACAAAAAUUACUAUAAUCAUUUGCUGUAUUAAGUCUACUCUAUUCCACUGGUCCUCUUUUAUUUCUUAAUUAGUACCAUAUAGUUUUGAUAACUACUGACUUAUAAUAUAGUUUAAGAUCCAUUCAGCUAUCCAUUUCAGCUUUAUGAGUAAGUUCAUCCCAUUUACAUUCAAAGUGAUUACAUUCAAAUGAUAAAGUCAUUAUCACCUGAAAGUGAUUCAGGUAUCACUAAUACCUGAAAGUCUUCAUUAAUGGAGAAUUGGGGUUAGCUGAAAAUAUCAUAGUUAGCAAAGUCAAGCAUAAUCUUGAAUAACAACAAAAAUGAAUAUUCAAUGAAUGGCCAAACUUUCAGGAUUUUGUUGCAAAAAGACCUAAACUUAAGAGAAAAUUUGACAUGUAAUAUCCAACAGAAACAUAAGGUAAAUAUCAAAGUCUAAUUUCAAGGGACUUUAGGACAUACAAAUUCUUUAUGCUUUAUCCUUGAAAAUGUAAACUAUAUAUCCAAGAUUGUCAUUAGUAAUUGGCUUAUUUGAAAGAUUAGGGUAGAGCUAUGUAUGAUGUGAUUUUUAAAAGUAAAACCAUAUGGGAAAAGGUAAAAAGAGUAAUUAUCUCAUACAAAUUAAGUGAAAAAGGAAGAAUUUAUACAAAUAAAUUAGAUAGAGAGCUGACUGUUAUCGAACCCUACUUUCAUCAGGAAUGAGGUAAAAAGUUAACAAUACAUAUAUAUCUAGAAGAGUAUAAACAUCUUCUAAAUUUAGAAAGAAAUGAGGGUAAGGGUAUGGGGAGGAAGGAGAGGAUAAGAGAAGACUUUUUAGAAGGAACCCUCUUCAUAGCAGAUCAAGGUUAAAGAGAGAACUAUAUAUCUCUAGAAGCAUAAGUCUUCUAAAUUUAUAAAGAAACAAGAGGGUGAGGGGAUAGGAUAAAGGGAGGAUAUAGAAAGGUAUUUAGUUUAAUGAAAAUAGGAUAAAGAGGAUUGAGUGGGGGGGGAGUAUAGAUUAUAGAUGAAGGGGGAUAGGUAAAAGGAGGGCAAGGUAGCUGGUACAAAUAAAAGAUAAACACAAAGAUAAAAUAAACAUCAAGAGCUAAAUUUUAUUAUGUAAAGAAAAAAGCAAAGGUAGAAAUCAAGAUUUCAGACAAAAUUAAAACUAAAAUAGUUUUAAUCAAAAGAGAAAAACAAGGAAAUUAUACUAUAUAUCAGCCAUAUUAAAUAAUAUUGUUUUAAGCUAUUUAAAAUAACUAGAUAGUGUAAUGUUGGAAUAUAGCUGUGUUGUAGAAAAUGAGUUGGUGGAGUGAGAAAAAUAUGGGAAGACUUGGACACAUGAAAGAAGAUAUUAUCUACCUUCAGAGAAACAGAAGCAUAGGAUGGUCUUACAAAAAAAAAAAAGAAUAUAUUUGUAUAUGUAUGUGUAUGAUUAUAGAUAUUUAUAUUUUAUAUGUGUAUAUGUAUACAUACAUAUACAUACCUAUGUGUGAUUGUAUACAUCUAAUUGUGGUUUUCUUGGGUGAGGAAAAGGCGGCGGGGGGGGGGGGGGAGAAUAAAGUAAAAAGUGCACAGCAGAGAAAAAAAGAAAAUCUACAAGGAAGCAAUGAAAAGAUGGACAACUCUGAACACAAUAUGGAGUAUUUAUAAUAUAGAUUUUUUGAAAUGGAACUUUAUUGCUUUAUAUUUUGAAUCUUCUACUAUGUUCUGUUAUUCACAUGGAAUUUUUUUUCUUUUCUCAUUUUCUAUUUAAAUUUUAAAUAAAUAUGUAAGUAAAUAAAUAAAGAGAAGAAAGAAAACAUGUUGUUCAUCACUAGCCAUUCAUGGUUCUUAUACAUCUUAAUACGUAUCCUGCAUUGCAAUGGUGAUGUCAGUAAUGUAUGCUAUAUUUGGUUGUGUGUCAGAGGAAAAAAAAAUCUCUUAAGCACAAUCAGUACAUACCAAUAAAUACCACUGGUAUUCAGUAUUUUAUUUUUCUGAAAAAAAAGUUUCAGUCAAAGGCUUUCAUCGUGUGAGAAUUUAAGCUGUGUAAACCUAGACUUGAAAACAUUGAUGUCACAUCAGUGAAUACAAGCAUGCUUUUAACUAACUUAUUAUUACAAUUUAAUUUAGAAAUGGCAUUUAGUAUCAAUAAAUGUUUUUUACAAAGAGAA